AACUGUCCUUGGCAUAGUGAUUUGAUCAUUGGACUACAACUCUGGAGACCAGGGUUCAAAUCCCUGAGCAGCUA